GACGAACGCUGGCGGCGUGCUUAACACAUGCAAGUCGAACGGUAAGGCCCUUCGGGGUACACGAGUGGCGAACGGGUGAGUAACACGUGGGUGAUCUGCCCUGAACUUCGGGAUAAGCCUGGGAAACUGGGUCUAAUACCGGAUAGGACCACUGCCUGCAUGGGUGGUGGUGGAAAGCUUCUGCGGUGUGGGAUGGGCCCGCGGCCUAUCAGCUUGUUGGUGGGGUGAUGGCCUACCAAGGCGACGACGGGUAGCCGGCCUGAGAGGGUGACCGGCCACACUGGGACUGAGAUACGGCCCAGACUCCUACGGGAGGCAGCAGUGGGGAAUAUUGCACAAUGGGCGCAAGCCUGAUGCAGCGACGCCGCGUGAGGGAUGACGGCCUUCGGGUUGUAAACCUCUUUCAGCACCGACGAAGCGCAAGUGACGGUAGGUGCAGAAGAAGGACCGGCCAACUACGUGCCAGCCGCCGCAGUAA
rnacentral:rRNA from 1 species